rnacentral:rRNA from 1 species
GAACGCUAGCGACAGGCUUAACACAUGCAAGUCGAGGGGCAGCGAGGGCGUAGCAAUACGCCUGUCGGCGACCGGCGCACUGGUGAGUAACACGUAUGCGACCUGCCCCUACAGGGGUAUAACCCGUAGAAAUGCGGACUAAUCCCCCAUAGUCCUGGGUGCUGCAUGGCAUUCAGGGGAAAGGCCAGCCGGUAGGGGAUGGGCAUGCGGCGCAUUAGCUAGUUGGCGGGGCAACGGCCCACCAAGGCGACGAUGCGUAGGGGUUCUGAGAGGAAGGUCCCCCACAUUGGAACUGAGACACGGUCCAAACUCCUACGGGAGGCAGCAGUGAGGAAUAUUGGUCAAUGGACGUAAGUCUGAACCAGCCAAGUAGCGUGCAGGAUGACGGCCCUAUGGGUUGUAAACUGCUUUUAUGCGGGGAUAAAGUGUGGGACGUGUCCCAUAUUGCAGGUACUGCAUGAAUAAGGACCGGCUAAUUCCGUG